GAUGAACGCUGGCGGCGUGCCUAUUACAUGCAAGUCGAGCGAACGGACGAGAAGCUUGCUUUUCUGAUGUUGGCGGCGGACGGGUGAGUAACACGUGGAUAACCUACCUAUAAGACUGGGAUAACUUCGGGAAACCGGAGCUAAUACCGGCUAAUAUUUUGAACCGCAUGGUUCAAAAGUGAAAGACGGUCUUUCUGUCACUUAUAGAUGGAUCCGCGCUGCAUUAGCUAGUUGGUAAGGUAACGGCUUACCAAGGCAACGAUGCAUAGCCGACCUGAGAGGGUGAUCGGCCACACUGGAACUGAGACACGGCCCAGACUCCUACGGGAGGCAGCAGUAGGGAAUCUUACGCAAUGGGCGAAAGCCUGAUGGAGCAACGCCGCGUGAGUGAUGAAGGUCUUCGGGUCGUAAAGCUCUGUUGUUAGGGAAGAACAUAUGUGCAAGUAACUGUGCAGAUCAUGACGGUACCUAAUCAGAAAGCCCCGGCUAACUACGUG
rnacentral:rRNA from 1 species